UACGUAGGUGGCAAGCGUUGUUCGGAAUUAUUGGGCGUAAAGAGCUCGUAGGCGGUCUGUCACGUCGGAUGUGAAAAUCCAGGGCUUAACCCUGGACCUGCAUUCGAUACGGGCAGACUAGAGUUCGGUAGGGGAGACUGGAAUUCCUGGUGUAGCGGUGAAAUGCGCAGAUAUCAGGAGGAACACCGGUGGCGAAGGCGGGUCUCUGGGCCGAUACUGACGCUGAGGAGCGAAAGCGUGGGGAGCGAACAGG
rnacentral:rRNA from 1 species